rnacentral:rRNA from 1 species
UACGAAGGGGGCUAGCGUUGUUCGGAAUUACUGGGCGUAAAGCGCUCGUAGGCGGAUCGAUCAGUCAGGGGUGAAAUCCCAGGGCUCAACCCUGGAACUGCCUUUGAUACUGUCGAUCUGGAGUAUGGAAGAGGUGAGUGGAAUUCCGAGUGUAGAGGUGAAAUUCGUAGAUAUUCGGAGGAACACCAGUGGCGAAGGCGGCUCACUGGUCCAUUACUGACGCUGAGGUGCGAAAGCGUGGGGAGCAAACAGG